GACGAACGCUGGCGGCGUGCUUAACACAUGCAAGUCGAACGGAAAGGCCCCUUCGGGGGUACUCGAGUGGCGAACGGGUGAGUAACACGUGAGUAACCUGCCCUUGACUUCGGGAUAACUUCAGGAAACUGGGGCUAAUACCGGAUAGGAAUCCUUGCUGCAUGGUGGGGGUUGGAAAGCUUCGGCGGUUUUGGAUGGACUGGCGGCUUAUCAGCUUGUUGGUGGGGUAGUGGCUUACCAAGGCUUUGACGGGUAGCCGGCCUGAGAGGGCGACCGGCCACAUUGGGACUGAGAUACGGCCCAGACUCCGACGGGAGGCAGCAGUGGGGAAUAUUGCACAAUGGGCGGAAGCCUGAUGCAGCAACGCCGCGUGCGGGAUGACGGCCUUCGGGUUGUAAACCGCUUUCAGCAGGGGCGAAGCUUGUGGUGACGGUACCUGCAGAAGAAGCACCGGCUAACUACGUG
rnacentral:rRNA from 1 species